GUUACUUGAGUGAUUCUCCGGCGUCCAGCACUCGAUUUCUCCGAUACUUGCGUUGGCUUGUUUUUGUUCGUUUGAUCCGUUCGGUGGGUUUGUCUGGUUUGGAGCUGUGCACGUGGUGGGCCCCACGUGUUUGUGUCUGCUGUUUCAUUUUGGGAGCCGAACCUUUUAAUGUCCCGUUGCUUUGACCCUUUGACCAUUCCCUUUUCUCUUCUCUCGUUCUCCGUCAGGACUCAGGAGGACGUUCUCCACCAGGGGCAUCCCGGCUCUCAGCCAGGAGCGCAGGUCCAUGUAGGUGGAGAAGACCGUGUCAUCUCUGGCACAGUUCUGAGCAUUGAACUGGUGCCUGUGGGCAACAGUGCUAGUUCUUAUAUUGACUUUAAGGAAGGGUUGUAUUCUAGAUGCAGCUUCAUAUUGAGUAUCCUUUCUACAAUGGCUUCAUAUUGAAUUGGUGCCUUUGUUUUCUGAUUGAAAAUUAUGUUGCAUUCUAUAUACAAUACAGUCUGUUCAUUAUAAAGUUUUAGUACUAAUUGUACUAUCAUUUUUGUGUAAUCAAGGUGUAAAUACUAUAUAGUAGAUAUUUUCAUAUUUACAUUUUCUAAUAUUUGCUAUUUGCAUCUGCAGGGUUUAGGUCAACAAAUAGUUCGAGUUACAGUGCAAACAUGUUAAAUCGCCAGUGUACCUUGAACUGUCAUUUAUUUGAGUUCUUGUUGUAAUUUCUUUUUCUUUUUUUAGCUUUUUUUUUGUAUUUGCCAUUUGGCAUUUUUUGUGGGGUUUAAAGGCACCCUCAAAUUUUUGUUGUCUGUAUUCCAUAGAAAUAUUUUGAAAACAUUUGUUUAUAUUAAAAUUUGUGUUUUCACUUUUU